GACGAACCGUGCGAACGUUGUUCGGAAUCACUGGGCUUAAAGGGCGCGUAGGCGGGUCGUAAAGUCAGUGGUGAAAUCUUUCAGCUCAACUGGAAAAGUGCCGCUGAUACUGACGAUCUCGAGGGAGGUAGGGGUCGAUGGAACUAAUGGUGGAGCGGUGAAAUGCGUAGAUAUCAGGAGGAACACCGGUGGCGAAGGCGGGUCUCUGGGCCGAUACUGACGCUGAGGAGCGAAAGCGUGGGGAGCGAACAGG
rnacentral:rRNA from 1 species